CGCUGGCGGCGUGCUUAAGCAUGCAAGUCGAGCGGCAAGCGCAGCAAUGCGCCUAGAGCGGCGGACUGGUGAGUAACGCGUGGGUGAUCUACCCUUGGGUUGGGGAUAGCCAUUAGAAAUAGUGGGUAAUACCGAAUACGUUCGUCAGGUUGCGACCUGGCGAGGAAAGGCGCUUCGGCGCCGCCCGGGGAUGAGCCCGCGUCUCAUUAGCUAGUUGGUGGGGUAACGGCCUACCAAGGCGAUGAUGAGUAGCCGGCCUGAGAGGGCGACCGGCCACACUGGGACUGAGACACGGCCCAGACUCCUACGGGAGGCAGCAGUGGGGAAUAUUGGACAAUGGGGGCAACCCUGAUCCAGCAAUGCCGCGUGAGUGAAGAAGGCCUUCGGGUUGUAAAGCUCUUUUGUCAGGGAAGAAACAGCAGCUCUAACACAGUCUGCGAAUGACGGUACCUGAAGAAUAAGCACCGGCUAACUACGUG
rnacentral:rRNA from 1 species